GAUUUAACGCUGGCGGCGUGCCUAACACAUGCAAGUCGAACGAGGUAGCAAUACCUAGGUGGCAGACGGGUGAGUAACGCGUGGUCAAACCUACCCUAGAGUGGGGGAUAACUAGCCAAAAGGUUAGCUAAAUACCGCAUGAAACGUGCCGGGGCAUCUCGGAAAUGUUGAAAAGGAGCAAAUCCGCUCAAAGGACGGGACCGCGUCCCAUUAGCUAGUU
rnacentral:rRNA from 1 species